UCCUCCAGUCUCCCGCAGCCGAGCUGCCUCCUGCUGUACGCUCGGCAUUACGAAACCCCGUAAGAUGGAGCACAGAUGAUGUCUCGUGUGUAUUUCCCAACCGCUCUGACAGGAUACAGGCCAAAGUAUUUCAAAUCCUCAGCUUUUACAUGUUGUAUUAGUUACUCUCAUCAUUGCUAGGAUCAAACACUUAACAAUGAGCAACUUGAGGAAGAAACGGACAGUUUAUUUUGGCCAACAGUUCAAAGGGAUACAGAGCCUCGUGGCAGCGGGUCACAUGGCGUUCGCCGCCAGCGAAUGGAGAGCAGACCGGAAGUGAGGCCAGACUACCCAACCGCAAGGCCCACCCCUGUCAAUCACUUCCUCUAGCGAGGCUCCACUGGCUAAGUCAGGGCCAGCAAGUGGGGACCAGAUGUUCAAGCCCACGAAUCAAGGAGGACAUCUGGCCCCCAAACCACAGCAGUGGUAAACAAGACCACAAUUCAAAAGGGUGAAAGUGAAAAGGUUAUCGAUGAUGGUCCGAAAUCCCACCAAUAAGGAGGAAAUCUCACUAACAAAAACUCAAGCACAUGGCAGCGAUCAUCUAUAAGGCUGUGCUUACCAGGAAGCUGUAGAAGAACUCGUGGACGAAGAGGCCAAGCAUGCAAACCAAGACAUAGGCCACGUGGUAAAGAAAGGCCAUGUCCAGAAUGACUGCUCGGUACCCUCGGGUGAAUGUGCCUCGGUUUCCCACAAAACUCACCAGGAACACGAUUUUAUUGCAUAGCUAAACGGGGGAGAAAGUAGGAUUUUAGUGCUUGAAGCUCAACUAUAGAAGGAGACACUGUGAAAGGCGAGUGUUCCCAAGUCUUCGGUUUCCUUUCUCUGUGACCUCUUGUGUUGGUUUUCAGGUAGUCCACAAGCACACAUAUAAACAGUCACACACAGAACUGGUUCCCUUGAGGCUCUCAGGGCAGAGAAUGCCACCAACACAGACUGAGUAUGAAUCCGGAUCUUCCUUAUUCCUGGAUUACCUAGUUUUCCCCAUGGGAAACCCAACAGUUUCUGAAAAACUGCCAUCAAAGGUCUCAGCUCACAGAGCCCCUCUGAGGCCUAGAUAACACCAAACAUUCACAGUGAUUAUUGUCAUGACUCCUUUUCAAACACUCCUUGGAUAUUUAUGACCACAUCUCUAUAGUUAUGCCUUUUGAAAACAGGUUGGUUUUGCAACACUGAUUUUAUAUACACUAUAUACAUGCACACAUUUACAUCUUCUCAAACUUGAGAGAGUAUGAAAUCUUUUCCAUCCAUGUCCUGAAGUCUGAAUCAAUGCAGAUAAGAUGAAAAACUGGUAAUUAUUGCAUGUCCUGAUGGUCCAAUCAGACCAACAACAUAGCCACUAUAGGCAGAAUCUUUCCUACAUUCCCCAGAUAACUGUCUACCCUCUCAGUAAUCAGUACUAAUGUCAAUAACCAAUCAUCUCGAACCCCUUUCACCUUCUUGACAACAGCUUCAGAAGAAGUCAAGCGGAAGCCUUGUUUUACUGGUCAGCCAUUUAUGUUCUCACUCAGUAGAGCUGAGGCACGAUGGAGACUUCACAAUGACUGCUCAAGAGCGAGUCGGAUACUAGAGAAAACUGCUGAAAAAGCAAUGGAUCCAGGAUGUGGUCAGAAAAAGCAAAUUUCAGCUCUUCCUCUGAACAGCUUUUGGGUGACCCUGGUCAAAUUUACACAACUGCAUCAACUCACACACCCUGGUCCAUCAGAGUGAUACAGAAAGGGGUUCUACGAAAAUAGAACUAAAAAUCAUCUCUUCACAAGGAUAAAUGAUAUGACACAGACAGUUUGUGUGUCAUUUCCCAACUCUCUAAGAUGAGUUACAAAAAUAUUCAGGAAACCUAUUUGUAGACUGGACACACUGGGGAGAAACAGGUUGAACUAAAUCCUCAAAAUGGUCAAUACACUUUAGUUAGAUAAAGUAAAGGGCAGGGUGCAUUUAUGCCCGAAUGACCCUUGACCCAUAGCUGGGUGCAUAUGGUUUUGUUCACUAGAAACAUCUGGAAGUGAGGUAGGGUUGACAGGAGCAGUGGCCUCUAAGUGUUCACAUAGAGUUUGGAGAUGGGCGCCAUCCUUCUGUUUAAGACAUUCAUCAAGGACAAACGAAAGGAAGGAUAAUAAUAUAUGCGUGUGUGUGUGUGUGUGUGUGUGUGUGUGUGUGUGUGUGUGUGUGUGUAUGGAAGGACUGGAAUCUUGCUUUGUAUGACAUGAAGAAAUUUGUAAUUUUUUUUAUGUAGCACUUUCCAUGAGAGCUGGGGCUGUUUAUGGAGGAACAACAAGCUGCAAACACACACUCCCUGUUCGUGUCAUCACUUCACUGACAACAGUUAACCAGACCUUCUGUGUGGCUCCCUGAUACCAUGAUGCAGCCAGUCAAUUCUGUGCCAUGCAUGCCCAUGGGUCAUGAUAAGUGAUGGUGUGGAGACAUGGGUCAGGCCUUGAAACAGCAACACGAUGGCAUGCCACCAAUGCCCCACUCUUCCUUUUCCCAUUUAUCCCUCAGGGCUACAAAGUGUCACCUUUGGGGGUGACCUGAAUGAUAAUGAAGAGGAAGAAGGAUGGAGAAACAGUGCCACGGAUGCUCUCAGGGUCUUUCAAAAAUAGCACAUUAUCCAAACAGUUUACCUAGAGUCCUUGUCAUGGCAAAGAUAAAGUCAACGUUUGCUUGUGAGUUACUAUCUGGUAAAUGGUGAGCAUUGGGGGCAUCCAGAUAAAUAAACCACACAGUCAUGUAGUCUCCUCAUAUGUCCUCACAACCGGUGGACACAUCUUUACAGGAUUUUCCAGGGGUGUGACAAAGUGCAAAGAUGGGAGUCAUGUCAUCCAGGGCACUAACUUCAUUCAUGACACAACCCUCUGUUUCUAGGGGACUCUGUUCAUGUCUGUACAGAUGUGCCUAGAAGCUAGUCAUUAUUUAAGAUUUAUUUUAUUAUUUAUCCAUAUGGAUGUGUGCAGUGUCUUUGCAAGGCCGGAAGGGGAUGAUGGGUGCCUGGAGCUGGAGUUACAGACAGUUGUGAGCUGUAUGACUUUGGUGCUGGGAACUGACUGGGUCUUCUGAAGAGACAGCAAGUAUUCAUAAUGCUCAGUCAUGCCUCCAGCCCCAGAGCAAAUCCAUCUAAAGAUGUCUCCUGGCUCCAUAAUUUUCCUCCUUUUCUACUGUUUUAUGAACAUAGAAACUGAAAGUGGUCACCACCACUUGUGUUGGUAUCUGUGUUAUUUCUUUGGUCUCAUCCAGGACUCUGUCCCUGAUCAGAAUAUCUAAGUUGUUGCAAUGGGAAAACAUGACCUAUUUUCCAAGAAUAAAUUGUAAAGUGCUGAUGUUUUGAAAGGUAAAACUAAACUCACUGUCUCUAACAAUAUCACCAAGUUCUCAUCAACCAUGGAAAUCAACCCUUUUGCUGAAAAAUAAGAUGACUUAUUCCAUUAUCUCCAUGCCACUAGUGUUAGGACUUAGGCAGGAUAAAAUCUUAAGGUCACUGUAGAAAGCAAAAUUUACAUGCAGUCAAAUAUCACCCUGAACUGUCAGCAGGACAGUACAGUAAACACAGGCAGCGUGAACAGCACCGCUCACGAUAUUCAACUCAGCCUGGGAUAAGAUUUGUAUUUUGACAACUGUAUGCCAGAAAUAAUGACAUCCAGUGACCACAUUGAACAAAACAUUGUGUGUGCAUCUCAAAGGCAGAAUGUGAAAGGAAAGUUUCAGUUCAGAAUAUGUAGUGAGGCUUGUGUGUUUACUGAAUACAAAUUUGUCGUCCUACAAACUAACAGUGUGAUGCAGUCACCCAUAAAACUGCAGAUACACAGCUAAGAACACUGCUAAGCACUGUGGUAACUGUUAAUGACCUGGCGCUCGCUCUCUCUCUCUCUCUCUCUCUCUCUCUCUCUCUCUCUCUCUCUCUCUCUCUUUAAAAAAAAAAGCUCACUUGGUUUUCCUCUGUGCAAAUCAGGUAGAACAAAUUCUAGCAUUUUCACAUUAAAAUAACUAUGAGAAAGGCUACUGCCAUUAAGUGAACCAGAGUUUCCCAAUAUUAUUAGAAAGGGGAAAAAUACCAGAGGCAGUAGCCCUUUAGAUGAUGUUAAAAGAUAUUUCACGAGGACUUGGGGCAUGGCUCACUGGUAGAGCACUUGCCUUGUAUACUACCCAGGAUUCAGUUCCUAGCAUCAGAAGAAAAAUCUUUACUUAUAUUUACCGUUUUCCUCUUUCUUACAAAGAAUCUAAGGCGCAAAGAUAAAUGGAGUAGUUAAGGAUGAUAUAGCAUCCAUAUAAUGAAUCAGAAACCUCUUUAAUCAACAGGAAAUGCUAAAUCUGUAUAAAUGAGGUUUGCAAAACAUUUAAACGAUGUGAGCAAAUAUGAAGCACCCCAGGUUUAUGCAAUGACCCCUGUAGUUCUCAGAAUGUUAAUUUAUAUCAACAUUAGCCAAGAUUACCACACUGUGCAGGGGAAGAAAACUGUGUAAGAUAUAUACUGCAACAUUCAGAAUCGCUGAGACACAUGUGAUUGGAAAAUCUAACUGAAAUAUGGACAUAUUGCAGGCUCUGCAAAUGAAUUAAAUUUUAUCACAAUAAACUAAAAUCUGAUAAAUACUAAGGUCUUUCCUCUAUUACGAUCCUUUCCUCAAAGAAUUUUCAUAUUUGCUUAACACCAAGGGACAGUGUCUAGAAACAAGGUACCACAAGAGCUAAGAUGCAGACAUAUCAUGGUGGCAACACUUUGAUAUCUGAUUAGUGAUUUGCAUAUCAGAUACUCAGAUACAGUACUUGACAGACAUUAUCAUCAGUAUAUAAUAGUAACUGAUCUUUUCUGGAUCUUCCACACAAAGAUGUUCAACUGACCUCAGCAACCAGAGGAGGGUAGACCAGUUGUCCACACUAUACUUGCACUUAGAAGAAGAUGCAAUUAGAGAUUGGCUGCUGUUUGUCAUGGCCAAACUGUCAAGCUAAUGUUUUCUUUUGUGCUUUCUAGUCUUAUAUCUAUUAUUUUAGAAGUCACAGCCUCACCUGUUAUACAAUGCAAAGGUCUGUGUAAAAAUUAAAUUAUUAAUAUAUUAUUACCUAAGAUAUAAAUAUAAGAUUCAUGUUCUUACUUGAAUUUUCCUCUGUCAUAGUAAAGAUAAACCAAGAUACUUGUGUAAAGUAUUUAUGUGAAGAGGGAAAAUAGAUAGCAAUUCUCUAAAUUGAUUAUAUUAAUCUUAAUCUAUGUAAUACCAAAUACAAUUAUAAAUAUGUUUUUGUUGACAUCUGCAGUAGUAUUAAAUUUUAGUGACCUCAUUAAAUUUGCCUCAAGUCGACAUAGGUUAUUUUUUUUUGGUCAAAUGACCCCAGGGUAGUGGUAGUGUGUGCAUGAAUAACAUGCUUCAUGCUAUUGGGAUCUGGGAAGAUUCAUGGAGUUAGUAAGACAGACAUGUCUACAUGCUUAACACUUUUUCAUAAAGCUGUUAAUUAAGCACCUGGCUUUGGUAAAGAAUAUGUUUAUGGUGGAAUGAUUCUUACCAAAGCACAUGAAAGUUAUCACUUUAUACUGUCCUACAAGAGUUAGGGAAAGAACACCAGAUGUUUUUAGUUCUCCAUCAGCCCAAACAUUCAAACGUUAUUCCUCACCUUGGUUUACAUGUAUUCCAGAUGGCAAGCAGCACCCUUUUACCCCUUGGUGUUCUAAACAUCUACCGUAUCAUGUAAUAGGUGCAGCGAACAUUUGUUAUCUUGGGCACAACUCUGCCUGGCUCUUCCUUCACUUUCUUAAACUUAGAUAUUACUCACUUAGAUUAAUGCCUUACUGAAAGUCAAUGAUCACUUUACAGAUAACAUUCACUUCUUCAAAGACUAUAACUUCAUGCUCAACAUGCUUUCUAGAGAAGCAAAAUAAGCCUCAGACAGAGGUGUAGACAAAUUUAUACAUAUUCAUGAUGGUUCUCUGAUGAUGAUAACAUCAGCCUACAUUCAAAGCAAAGACAGUAAGCAGAAGCUCAGGUCAUGAGAUCGCUUCUGAAUGUUCCAAUGCCAAGGGUACGGUGAAGGAAGGUGGAGAUGGGAGUAAGCUGGAAGGAGUGACUUUCACAGCACCACUGAGCUGGGGAAGCACAGUAAACAGAUUCCAAAGAAACAUGGUCAGGGAUAACAAAGACUGCACUCAUGUGUUGGUGUGACAGGUCCAGUCUCCAUGAAACCCAGAGAAGGGUGUGUUUGGUACGCUUCUAAUCCUCUUCACUGCCAUAACAGAGAAUUUGGGGGGAGGUGUUGAAUAUUCUAACAUCUGGGAACUGUGGAAUGCUUCCAGCAUUUGAAGAAUUGUGAUAAAAGUCAAAGUCAGAAACGCUGAAAAAAAUAGAAUGGACUACGUUGCCUCAUCUUGAUAAUCCAAGUUGGUUAACUAAAUUAUUUUCAAUAAAUAUUGGCCAUUCAUUAAUUGAUUCAUUCAAAAAUAUUUAUAGACACUGUGAUAACCAAGGUAUAUAAUGAUCAACUAUCAUCCUCAAUAAAAAUAUGAGGUAGUAUAAUCCUAGCUAAAAUAUCAGGGCAUAGGAUUCUCAGGGAUGCAAUGAAGGUUAAAUGGAGUGCUUUGGGUAUUAAUCAGGUAGAUAUAACAAUAUUUAUGUGAUUUUUGACCAUUUGUCAUAUUAUCAAUUUGAUGAUUUAUCUUCUCUCCAUUUACAGAUGCACUUUGCAUAAAUUUGGCACAGAGCCCCUUCAAAGUUUUAUUUUUUUUGUUUAAAUUAUUUCAAACAAUCUCUCGUUUGCUUCUUGGCUUGAUACUUCCAGUCUGCUCAUUCUACCCUUACUGACCUAACAGCCCAAAGGCCUUCUCUUGUUCUAAUAUACUAGAUCUUGGUGGAAAAGAGAAGCAAUUUCACCCAUGCCUUUUAUAAGUUUAUAAGAUUUUCUCAUAUAAAAGGAGCCCAAUCUUUUUUUUUUUUUGGUUCUUUUUUUCGGAGCUGGGGACCGAACCCAGGGCCUUGCGCUUCCUAGGUAAGCGCUCUACCACUGAGCUAAAUCCCCAGCCCCAAGGAGCCCAAUCUUAUAUC